UACAGAGGUCUCAAGCGUUGUUCGGAUUCAUUGGGCGUAAAGGGUGUGUAGGUGGCGCGCUAAGUCGGGUGUGAAAUUUCGGAGCUUAACUCCGAAACUGCAUUCGAUACUGGCGUGCUUGAGGACUGGAGAGGAGACUGGAAUUCAUGGUGUAGCAGUGAAAUGCGUAGAGAUCAUGAGGAAGACCAGUGGCGAAGGCGGGAUCCUGGGCCAGUACUGACGCUGAUGAGCGAAAGCGUGGGGAGCAAACAGG
rnacentral:rRNA from 1 species